CUGAGGUCCAAGACCUCAUCUUCUGGCUCUGCAGACCUCUGGGAAUAGGGAUCACAUGACUUUGGCUCAGCCUUUGUGAGAAAACUUCAUGGAGUCAGUCCCAUUCAGUAGCCAAAACAACAGCAACAACUAAUGCCUACAGUACUUUAAGGAGGAAAACAGAAGAAAAGAAAAGAAAGAACAUAUCCAAGAAACAUAGGUGUGAAGGUCUCCUGUGGUCCCUAAGUUUUUGCCUUCUAGCUGCAUUUAAAAACCUAUCAAGAUGA
rnacentral:lncRNA from 1 species